rnacentral:rRNA from 1 species
UACGUAGGUGGCGAGCGUUAUCCGGAAUGAUUGGGCGUAAAGGGUGCGUAGGCGGAAUAUCAAGUCAGCGGUAAAAAUUCGGGGCUCAACCCCGUCGUGCCGUUGAAACUGAUGUUCUUGAGUGGGCGAGAAGUAUGCGGAAUGCGUGGUGUAGCGGUGAAAUGCAUAGAUAUCGCGCAGAACCCCGAUUGCGAAGGCAGCCUGCCGGCCCCACACUGACGCUGAGGCACGAAAGCGUGGGUAUCGAACAGG